rnacentral:rRNA from 2 species
UUAAGUUAACAAGGGCGCAUGGUGAAUGCCUUGGCACUAGGAGCCGAUGAAGGACGGGACUAACACCGAUAUGCUUCGGGGAGCUGUACGUAAGCUAUGAUCCGGAGAUUUCCGAAUGGGGCAACCCAGCAGUUUUAAUCAACUGUUACCACUAGAUGAAUUCAUAGUCUAGUUGGAGGUAAACGCUGUGAACUGAAACAUCUCAUUAGCAGCAGGAAUAUAAAGAAAUUUCGAUUCCCUAAGUAGCGGCGAGCGAACGGGGAACAGCCCAAACCAAAGUGCUUGCACUUUGGGGUUGUAGGACUGAACAUUUGAGUUACCAAAGAACUUGAUAGUCGAAGGAUUUGGGAAAAUCCGCCAUAGAUGGUGAUAGCCCAGUAGAUUAAAUCAAAUUCUCUCAGUUCAGAAUCCUGAGUACGGCGGAACACGUGAAAUUCCGUCGGAAUCCGGGAGGACCAUCUCCCAAGGCUAAAUACUACCUAGUGACCGAUAGUGAACCAGUACCGUGAGGGAAAGGUGAAAAGCACCCCGGGAGGGGAGUGAAAUAGUUCCUGAAACCAUGUGCCUACAAUAAGUCAGAGCGCGUUAAUGCGUGAUGGCGUGCCUUUUGUAGAAUGAACCGGCGAGUUAUGAUCCCGUGCAAGGUUAAGACUAAAAAGUCGGAGCCGUAGCGAAAGCGAGUCUGAAAUGGGCGUUUUGAGUACGAGGUUAUAGACCCGAAACCAGGUGACCUAUCCAUGUCCAGGUUGAAGGUGCGGUAAAACGCACUGGAGGACCGAACCCGUGUAAGUUGAAAAUUGCUGGGAUGAGGUGUGGAUAGCGGUGAAAUUCCAAACGAACUUGGAGAUAGCUGGUUCUCUCCGAAAUAGCUUUAGGGCUAGCCUCGGAAUUAGGAUCAUGGAGGUAGAGCACUAUUUGGACUAGGGGCCCGUCUUGGGUUACUGAAUUCAGAUAAACUCCGAAUGCCAUUGAUUCAUAUCCGGGAGUCAGACGAUGAGUGAUAAGAUCCACCGUCGAAAGGGGAACAGCCCAGACCAUCAGUUAAGGUCCCUAAAUGUAUGCUAAGUGGAAAAGGAUGUGGAGUUGCAUAGACAACUAGGAUGUUGGCUCAGAAGCAGCCACCAUUUAAAGAGUGCGUAAUAGCUCACUAGUCGAGUGAUCCUGCGCCGAAAAUGUACCGGGGCUAAGCAUACUACCGAAACCAUGGAUGCGACCAUUAGGUCGCGUGAUAGGAGAGCGUUCUAAGGGCGGUGAAGCAAGAUCGUGAGGACUUGUGGAGCGCUUAGAAGUGAGAAUGCCGGUAUGAGUAGCGAAAGAUAGGUGAGAAUCCUAUCCACCGAAUGACUAAGGUUUCCUGGGGAAGGCUCGUCCUCCCAGGGUUAGUCGGGACCUAAGUCGAGGCCGAGAGGCGUAGACGAUGGAUAACAGGUUGAGAUUCCUGUACUAGUUAAGUGCGUUUGAGCAAUGGAGGGACGCAGGAGGCUAAGAUGUGCAUUCUGUUGGAUUAGAAUGUCCAAGCAGUAAGUCUUGUGAAGAGUCAAAUGCUUUUCACUUUAAGGACAAGCUGUGAUGGGGAGCGAAAUUUAGUAGCGAAGCGUCUGAUGUCACACUGCCGAGAAAAGCUUCUAGUGAGUACUUAACUACCCGUACCGCAAACCGACACAGGUAGUCGAGGAGAGAAUCCUAAGGUGAGCGAGUGAACUCUCGUUAAGGAACUCGGCAAAAUGACCCCGUAACUUCGGGAGAAGGGGUGCUGAUCGCAAGAUCAGCCGCAGUGAAUAGGCCCAGGCGACUGUUUAUCAAAAACACAGGUCUCUGCAAAAUCGUAAGAUGACGUAUAGGGGCUGACGCCUGCCCGGUGCUGGAAGGUUAAAAGGAUGGGUUAGCUUCGGCGAAGCUCAGAAUUGAAGCCCCAGUAAACGGCGGCCGUAACUAUAACGGUCCUAAGGUAGCGAAAUUCCUUGUCGGGUAAGUUCCGACCCGCACGAAAGGCGUAACGAUCUGGGCACUGUCUCAACGAGAGACUCGGUGAAAUUAUAUUGUCCGUGAAGAUGCGGACUACCCGCGACAGGACGGAAAGACCCCAUGGAGCUUUACUGUAGCUUGAUAUUGAGUGUUUGUACAGCUUGUACAGGAUAGGUAGGAGCCAUAGAAACCGGAACGCUAGUUUCGGUGGAGGCGUUGGUGGGAUACUACCCUCGCUGUAUGACCACUCUAACCCGCACCACUAAUCGUGGUGGGAGACAGUGUCAGGUGGGCAGUUUGACUGGGGCGGUCGCCUCCUAAAAAGUAACGGAGGCGCCCAAAGGUUCCCUCAGAAUGGUUGGAAAUCAUUCGCAGAGUGUAAAGGCACAAGGGAGCUUGACUGCGAGACAGACAGGUCGAGCAGGGACGAAAGUCGGGCUUAGUGAUCCGGUGGUACCGUAUGGAAGGGCCAUCGCUCAACGGAUAAAAGCUACCCUGGGGAUAACAGGCUUAUCUCCCCCAAGAGUCCACAUCGACGGGGAGGUUUGGCACCUCGAUGUCGGCUCAUCGCAUCCUGGGGCUGUAGUCGGUCCCAAGGGUUGGGCUGUUCGCCCAUUAAAGCGGUACGCGAGCUGGGUUCAGAACGUCGUGAGACAGUUCGGUCCCUAUCCGUCGCGGGCGUAGGAAAUUUGAGAGGACCUGUCCUUAGUACGAGAGGACCGGGAUGGACAUACCUCUGGUGUACCAGUUGUGCCGCCAGGCGCAUCGCUGGGUAGCUACGUAUGGAUGUGAUAAACGCUGAAAGCAUCUAAGUGUGAAACACACCUCGAGAUGAGAUUUCCCAUUCCUUUAUGGAAGUAAGACCCCUGAAAGAUGAUCAGGUAGAUAGGUUAGAAGUGGCAGUGCGGUGACGCAUGAAGCGGACUAAUACUAAUCGGUCGAGGACUUAACC